AGAGUUUGAUCCUGGUUCAGGACGAACGCUGGCGGCGUGCCUAACACAUGCAAGUCGAGCGGAGUGCAGCAAUGCACUUAGCGGCGAACGGGUGAGUAACGCGUGGAUAACCUACCCUUCUGACCGGGAUAACACUUCGAAAGAGGUGCUAAUACCGGAUGGGCCACAACAGUCGCAUGACCGAAGUGGGAAAGGGGGCGAAAGCUCCCACAGGGGGAUGGAUCCGCGUCCCAUUAGUUAGUUGGUGAGGUAACGGCUCACCAAGGCGACGAUGGGUAGCCGGCCUGAGAGGGUGACCGGCCACACUGGGACUGAGACACGGCCCAGACUCCUACGGGAGGCAGCAGUGGGGAAUCUUCCGCAAUGGACGAAAGUCUGACGGAGCAACGCCGCGUGAGUGAAGAAGGUCUUCGGAUCGUAAAGCUCUGUCUGGUGGGAAGAAAGAAGGGUGGCCGAAUAAGCCAUUCAAGUGACGGUACCGCCGGAGGAACCCCCGGCUAACUACGUGCCAGCAGCCGCGGUAAUACGUAGGGGGCGAGCGUUGUCCGGAAUUACUGGGCGUAAAGAGCGCGUAGGCGGCUUGAUAAGUCAGGUGUGAAAACUUAAGGCUCAACCUUAAGAUGGCACUUGAAACUGUCAGGCUUGAGGUCAGGAGAGGAGAGCGGAAUUCCUAGUGUAGCAGUGAAAUGCGUAGAUAUUAGGAGGAACACCAGUGGCGAAGGCGGCUCUCUGGACUGAUUCUGACGCUGAGGUGCGAAAGCCAGGGGAGCAAACGGGAUUAGAUACCCCGGUAGUCCUGGCUGUAAACGAUGGGCACUAGGUGUAGGAGGUAUCGACCCCUCCUGUGCCGGAGUCAACGCAUUAAGUGCCCCGCCUGGGGAGUACGGCCGCAAGGUUGAAACUCAAAGGAAUUGACGGGGGCCCGCACAAGCAGUGGAGCAUGUGGUCUAAUUCGACGCAACGCGAAGAACCUUACCAGGGUUUGACAUCUUCUGACAGCUGCAGAGAUGCAGUGUUCUGCCUUCGGGUAGACAGAAAGACAGGUGGUGCAUGGUUGUCGUCAGCUCGUGUCGUGAGAUGUUGGGUUAAGUCCCGCAACGAGCGCAACCCUUGUCCUUUGUUGCUAACAAGAGAGAUGAGCACUCAGAGGAGACUGCCGGAGACAAUUCGGAGGAAGGUGGGGAUGACGUCAAAUCAUCAUGCCCUUUAUGCCCUGGGCUACACACGUGCUACGAUGGUCUGUACAACGGGAAGCGAAGGGGCGACCCGGAGCCAAUCCUACAAAACAGGCCUCAGUUCGGAUUGCAGGCUGCAACCCGCCUGCAUGAAGCUGGAAUUGCUAGUAAUCGCGGAUCAGCACGCCGCGGUGAAUACGUUCCCGGGCCUUGUACACACCGCCCGUCACACCACGAAAGCAUGCAACACCCGAAGCCGGUGAGCUAACCCUUACGGGAGGCAGCCGCCU
rnacentral:rRNA from 2 species